GAUGAACGCUGGCGGCGUGCCUAACACAUGCAAGUCGAACGUGAAACCCGGUACCUAGUAUUGGGUUGAAAGUGGCGAACGGGUGAGUAACACGUUGGUGACCUACCUCGAGGAGGGGGAUAACCGUGGGAAACCAUGGCUAAUACCCCAGAUGUCUAGAUUGUUAGAGGGUCUAGACUAAAGUUCCGACGCCUUGAGAGGGGCCUGCGGGCUAUCAGCUUGUUGGUGGGGUAAUGGCCUACCAAGGCUAAGACGGCUAGGGGGCGUGAGAGCGCGACCCCCCACAAUGGAACUGAGACACGGUCCAUACUCCUACGGGUGGCUG
rnacentral:rRNA from 1 species